UGCUGGCUAGAAUCCGGACCCGGGUAAAGCAGGUCGUCCACCGGAGCGACAGCUGCCACUUGGCAGUGCUGGCAUGCACUGCAGGGUCCUCCCCUGGCCUCCUGCUGCAAUGGCGGUGAAGCAAGCCUGGGCCAGCGUAACCCCCCGCACGGCUGUCCUUUAGGCCAGGAUACACGGGCGGGUUUGUCUCUGUUUGUUUUUAAAAGGAGUCCAUCUCUAUGCCUCUGGUGCUUCUUUGGCUUCUCUGCCAUGGAUUUCUCUUUCCAGGAGAGCUCUCGGGCCGCAUUUCUCACCACUCUCUUAAGACUUUAGAGAUGUGAACUGGCGGCAACUGGUGCCGUUCUCAGUUCUCAGUGUUUGGUACCCAGCCAGGCUCCUGACUCCUGGGAACAGCCUUAUUUAGCGCUAGGAGAUUUGGGUCAGAGGCUCCCGAGAAGCCGGUGCAGGGAGAGACAGGAACAAUCACCGCCCAGUCACAGCUGGCAGCCAAAAGGACCGAAGGGGAAGACUCAGCCGACAGAGGAGAGUCCCUUCAAGCAGCCUUGGACCAGCUUUCCGAGGAGGCUGUUUUCUUCCCCAACUGCUCUGCAUCUGCCUGGGUGGCAGCCAGAGGCUGGGAACAGCAUGGCUGAGCUCAUGCUCCGAAGGAAGCAAGCUAUUCUGUUGUGAUUAACGCUGCGGAGAGAACCACAUGACAGAGGAUUAAUGUGUCUGACCAGUAGCCAGCUGGGACCUGAGGCUGCCUGAUUUCCCAACAGGAGUGAGCUCGAGAGUGAAAUGCCCACAGUGGAGCCGCCUCCACUGCUGACACUGCAGCCUGUUGAGAAGACCCGGUGUCAGAGUUUCCCAGCUAGGCCAUGCCCAGGCUCCUAGCCCAGAGAAAUGGUGAGAUAAUAAAUGUUUGUUGUUUUAAA